UAGCGUAGGGGGCAAGCGUUAUUCCGGAUUUACUGGGCGUAAAGCGCGUGUAGGCGGUUGCGCAAGUUGGUUGUGAAAUCUCCCGGCUCAACCGGGAAACUGCAGCCAAAACUGCGCGGCUAGAGUGGCAGAGAGGAAAGUGGAAUUCCCGGUGUAGUAGUGAAAUGCGUAGAUAUCGGGAGGAACACCAGCGGCGAAGGCGACUUUCUGGCUGCUAACUGACGCUGAGACGCGAAAGCUAGGGGAGCGAACGGG
rnacentral:rRNA from 1 species